rnacentral:rRNA from 1 species
UACGUAGGGCGCAAGCGUUGUCCGGAAUUAUUGGGCGUAAAGAGCUCGUAGGCGGUUUGUCGCGUCUGCUGUGAAAGCCCGGGGCUCAACCCCGGGUCUGCAGUGGGUACGGGCAGACUAGAGUGCAGUAGGGGAGACUGGAAUUCCUGGUGUAGCGGUGAAAUGCGCAGAUAUCAGGAGGAACACCGAUGGCGAAGGCGGGUCUCUGGGCCGAUACUGACGCUGAAGCACGAAAGCGUGGGGAGCAAACAGG